UUAAUAAUUUUUAUUUUAAGUUGAAACAAAAGAUGGAUAUACUUCACGAGAAGAUGGAACAGAAUAAGAAAGGAGUUCGUGUUCAACCUGAACGUCCUCCUCUACUAGUAUAUGGGAGUGAAGAAGAUGAAGCAUUCGACGAGAUUAUGA